ACAAUAUUUUGCUGCCCAUAUUGUUCCUGGUUAUUAACAAUAUUGUUCAACAUUGUUCACCUGAACAAGGCUGAACAAUAUUAACAACCAGGAACAAUAUGGGCAGCAAAAUAUUGUUC